UCUAAUCACUUGCCUGACAAGGGCGCUGGUUUUCAUUCAGGGUUUGAGUGUGGAAGGUGCGAGACGAAGAUUUCUCGUCAAGCUUUAAAUUAAGCCGGUCACUCUUGCCUGCCUGUUGUCGUACAUCGAGACUGAAAGCAAGAUGAAACUUUACAUCACGGUUCUGAUCGCAGCAGCUGUUUUGUUGACCAUGUUAGAUAUUGGUGAGUCAGGCUAUGGCUAUCAUGGGUAUGGAUAUGGCGGCUAUCGUAAUCGUUAUAGGUACCGUUAUGGUUAUGGCAAAAGAGGUAUGAAGAAGAUAGCCAGUCGCCAGCGAAUCAAUGACGUCCACGCGGAGUUAAACGACGACGCAAAAGUAGAGCAUCUCAAAGAAAACCUCGCGGAAGUCAAGCGUAACCCCUGAAGGCCCAGUUAAUAGCUACACAUUUUUGUGAAUUUGGUGCCCUUUCCAAGUUUAGUUGUGGUUUAGAUCCUAGCAAGAGAGUAAUGUUACAAAAAUAAAAAUAAGACAGUCUAGUGUUUCAAUUUUUAGUUCAAAGCACAACAAUGUAAAGAAACAAUAGGCGGUCUAACACCAAGAAAAUAUUUCAUUGGAAAUAAAGCACAGUGUUGGUUGA